rnacentral:lncRNA from 1 species
CAGGAAUGGGGAAUGGUUUGGAACCUGUUGUCCCAGGCUGACUAGAGAGGAAGGGUCAAAGAAAAGCAGGGAUGUCGGAGAAAAUCGUCAGGGCACUUGGCUUGCCAACAUGCCAGAAACAGCUCUACAGCCCAGCAACAAACCUUUAUCAAAAGCCACCGCAUGCCGAGCUCUGUGCAAGGCACCAGGGUACCGUGGAAACAAGAGAGUCUGGUUGGAGAGAGAGAAGUCACCUGUUCAAGUGCGGUGUGCGGGAUAGACGUGGUGCAUCCCGGCCCCAAUGUGUGCCACCGGCAUACCAGCCUAAGUUGUCUCAUAAAUCCUAUGGGAACUGAAAAGUGAGCCCAACAGAGGGGAGGGGCCAAAGCCAGGGCUCCUACACAAAGACCAUUCAGAAGAUGUUUGCUGAAUAAACCAAUUUCAAAUUCCAAGGUAGCCACAUGGGCCUACUUCACCACUGCUGUGUACCCCCUGCUGGGCUGAGCACAAAAACCCAAAGAAAGAAACCACCCUUGUCUGCAUCCGCCUGCAGCAGCCUUCUGCAAACACUCCAGUGUUGACACAUCUAGUCUACAUUUCCUGCUGUCCUGCC